AUACUUACCUGGCAGGGAGAGAUACUAUGAUCACAAAAGUAGUUUUCCCAGCUCAAGACUUAUUCAUUGCAUUCCAGAUGUCCUGAAAUCUGCAGUUUCCCCAAAUAUGAGAAACUAGACUGCACUUUUUUAGAUACUGGGAGACUGCGUUUGCCCUCAUCCUUG